UACGUAGGGUGCGAGCGUUGUCCGGAAUUAUUGGGCGUAAAGGGCUCGUAGGCGGUCUGUCGCGUCGGGAGUGAAAACUCAGGGGCUUAACCCUGAGCCUGCUUCCGAUACGGGCAGACUAGAGUUCGGCAGGGGAGACUGGAAUUCCUGGUGUAGCGGUGAAAUGCGCAGAUAUCAGGGAGGAACACCGGUGGCGAAGGCGGGUCUCUGGGCCGAUACUGACGCUGAGGAGCGAAAGCGUGGGGAGCGAACAGG
rnacentral:rRNA from 1 species